UACAGAGGGUGCAAGCGUUGUUCGGAAUUACUGGGCGUAAAGGGCGCGUAGGCGGACAGUUUAGUCAGAGGUGAAAGCCCAGGGCUCAACCUUGGAAUUGCCUUUGAUACUGGCUGUCUUGAGUUCGGGAGAGGUGAGUGGAAUGCCGAGUGUAGAGGUGAAAUUCGUAGAUAUUCGGCGGAACACCAGUGGCGAAGGCGACUCACUGGCCCGAUACUGACGCUGAGGCGCGAAAGCGUGGGGAGCAAACAAG
rnacentral:rRNA from 1 species